rnacentral:rRNA from 1 species
AGUUAAAAAGCUCGUAGUUGGAUUUCGGAGUGGGCCAGUUGGUCCGCCGCAAGGUGUGUUACUGACUGGUUUGCUCUUCUUCGCAAAGACUGCGUGUGCUCUUUGUUGAGUGUGCGUAGGAUUUACGACGUUUACUUUGAAAAAAUUAGAGUGUUCAAAGCAGGCUAUUGCUUGAAUACAUGAGCAUGGAAUAAUGGAAUAGGACUUUGGUCCCAUUUUGUUGGUUUCUAGGACCGAAGUAAUGAUUAAGAGGGACAAUUGGGGGCAUCCGUAUUUCGUUGUCAGAGGUGAAAUUCUUGGAUUUACGAAAGACGAACAACUGCGAAAGCACUUGCCAAGAGUGUUUUCAUUAAUCAAGAACGAAAGUUAGAGGAUCGAAG